rnacentral:rRNA from 1 species
AUCUACGGCCACACCACCCUGAAUGUGCCCGAUCUUCUCUGAUCUCGGAAGCUAAGCAGGGUCAGGCCUGGUUAAUACUUGGACGGGAGAAU